CCAAUAGCGUAUAUUAGUGUUGUUGCGGUUAAAAAGCUCGUAGUUGAAUUUCGGGAUUGGGAUAUAUCGGUCGUGCCUUUAGGGGCAUGAAUCGGUGUGUGGCCAAUUCUCACCUUCUGGUGAAUUGGGAUGCUCUCGGGUGUUUCAAUGAACUAGGACUUUUACUUUGAAAAAAUUAGAGUGUUUAAAGCGGGCAUUUUUGCUUGAAUACGUUAGCAUGGAAUAAUAAAAUAGGACGAUGGUUCUAUUUUGUUGGUUUUAGGACCACGUAAUGAUUAAUAGGGAUAGUUGGGGGCAUUAGUAUUCAAUUGUCAGAGGUGAAAUUCUUGGAUUUAUUGAGGACUAACUACUGCGAAAGCAUUUGCCAAGGAUGUUUUCAUUAAUCAAGAACGAAAGUUAGGGGAUCAAAGACGAUUUAUGUACGUCGUAGUCUUAACCAUAAACUAUGCCGACUAGGAAUCAGACAAAGUUAAUUUUUUAACGACUUGUUUGGUACCUUACGGGAAACCAAAGUGUUUGUUC
rnacentral:misc_RNA from 1 species